rnacentral:rRNA from 1 species
GGGUGCGUAACGCGUAUAGAACCUACCUUUUACAGAGGAAUAGCCUUUAGAAAUGAAGAUUAAUGCCUCAUAGUAUUGUAGACUGGCAUCAGUUUAUAAUUAAAGAUUUAUCGGUAAAAGAUGGCUAUGCGUCCUAUUAGUUAGUUGGUAAGGUAACGGCUUACCAAGACAGCGAUAGGUAGGGGUCCUGAGAGGGAGAUCCCCCACACUGGUACUGAGACACGGACCAGACUCCUACGGGAGGCAGCAGUGAGGAAUAUUGGACAAUGGAGGAGACUCUGAUCCAGCCAUGCCGCGUGUAGGAAGAAUGCCCUAUGGGUUGUAAACUACUUUUAUACAGGAAGAAACACUGGUAUGUAUACCAGCUUGACGGUACUGUAAGAAUA